UCUUAAAAAAUUCAUUUAAUUAUACUAUUAAAAAUUGGUAUGUCUAAAGGAAUAAUCAAACAAUGACACGUGAGAUGCCAUAUAUACUUCAUGCUGUUGUAUAGAGACCAAUUUUUAAUUAUAGAAAUGAAUAAUUUUUUUAACA
rfam:Gossypium hirsutum cultivar TM-1 chromosome 5, whole genome shotgun sequence